AAUCACAUUUGAGCGAGACAACUAAAUACAUUGUUGCUCUAAGCAAUGACAAGUUCUAACAGCAAUUCCAGCUCCGUUCUUCUCACCUUAUUUGUCUUGGCAAUUCUUCUGUCACCAGCCCUGGUGGUUCCAUCCCAAGCUGCGCGAUUUCGUGUUCCAGAAACAGGUGAGAACAGGCUUGUGUGCAUCAAUUGUAUAUGUUGCGAACCAGCCCCGUCCCGAAAAUGUGCUUGUUGCGUUUGUCCUUGACGGUUCUUGGACUUGGAACUAGCUAGCUUGAUACUAAAACAAUUUUAUAGUGAUAAUCGGAUCAGUUAAAUUUUUUGUCAUCUGUUUGCUUAUGUUCUUAAAAUGAAAUAAAGGGAUUGUAUUAUUAUAGGGUGUACCAUUUUUUGGUCUGUGUGACUGGGAAUUGUAAUAAAGAAUUAAAGUUUUACUUGGAUAA